rnacentral:tRNA from 1 species
GUUUAUGUAGCUUAAUUAAAGCGUAGCACUGAAAAUGCUAAGAUAGAUUUUAAUACAUCUCAAAAACA